rnacentral:SRP_RNA from 1 species
GCCAGGCAUGGUGGUGCAUGCCUGUAGUCCCAGCUACUUGGGAGGCUGAGGCUGGAGGAUCGCUUGAGUCUAGGAGUUCUGGGCUUCAGUGCACUAUGCCAGUCAAGUGUCUGCACUAAGUUUGGCAUCAAUAUGGUGACCUCCUGAGACAGGGGACCACCAGGUUGCCUAAGGAGGGGUGAACUGGCCCAGGUCAGAAAUGGAGCAGGUCAAAACUCCCUUGCUGAUCAGUAGUAGAAUCAUACCUGUGAAUAGCCACUGAACUCUAGCCUGGGCAACACAUUGAGACCCCAUCUCU